rnacentral:rRNA from 1 species
CUCAGGAUGAACGCUAGCUACAGGCUUAACACAUGCAAGUCGAGGGGCAGCAUUUUAGUUUGCUUGCAAACUGAAGAUGGCGACCGGCGCACGGGUGAGUAACACGUAUCCAACCUGCCGAUAACUCCGGAAUAGCCUUUCGAAAGAAAGAUUAAUACCGGAUAGUAUACGAAUAUCGCAUGAUAUUUUUAUUAAAGAAUUUCGGUUAUCGAUGGGGAUGCGUUCCAUUAGUUUGUUGGCGGGGUAACGGCCCACCAAGACUACGAUGGAUAGGGGUUCUGAGAGGAAGGUCCCCCACAUUGGAACUGAGACACGGUCCAAACUCCUACGGGAGGCAGCAGUGAGGAAUAUUGGUCAAUGGGCGAGAGCCUGAACCAGCCAAGUAGCGUGAAGGAUGAAGGCUCUAUGGGUCGUAAACUUCUUUUAUAUGGGAAUAAAGUUUUCCACGUGUGGAAUUUUGUAUGUACCAUAUGAAUAAGGAUCGGCUAACUCCGUGCCAGCAGCCGCGGUAAUACGGAGGAUCCGAGCGUUAUCCGGAUUUAUUGGGUUUAAAGGGAGCGUAGGUGGAUUGUUAAGUCAGUUGUGAAAGUUUGCGGCUCAACCGUAAAAUUGCAGUUGAAACUGGCAGUCUUGAGUACAGUAGAGGUGGGCGGAAUUCGUGGUGUAGCGGUGAAAUGCUUAGAUAUCACGAAGAACUCCGAUUGCGAAGGCAGCUCGCUAGACUGUUACUGACACUGAUGCUCGAAAGUGUGGGUAUCAAACAGGAUUAGAUACCCUGGUAGUCCACACAGUAAACGAUGAAUACUCGCUGUUUGCGAUAUACAGUAAGCGGCCAAGCGAAAGCAUUAAGUAUUCCACCUGGGGAGUACGCCGGCAACGGUGAAACUCAAAGGAAUUGACGGGGGCCCGCACAAGCGGAGGAACAUGUGGUUUAAUUCGAUGAUACGCGAGGAACCUUACCCGGGCUUAAAUUGCAACAGAAUAUAUUGGAAACAGUAUAGCCGUAAGGCUGUUGUGAAGGUGCUGCAUGGUUGUCGUCAGCUCGUGCCGUGAGGUGUCGGCUUAAGUGCCAUAACGAGCGCAACCCUUAUCUUUAGUUACUAACAGGUUAUGCUGAGGACUCUAGAGAGACUGCCGUCGUAAGAUGUGAGGAAGGUGGGGAUGACGUCAAAUCAGCACGGCCCUUACGUCCGGGGCUACACACGUGUUACAAUGGGGGGUACAGAAGGCGGCUACCUGGUGACAGGAUGCUAAUCCCAAAAACCUCUCUCAGUUCGGAUCGAAGUCUGCAACCCGACUUCGUGAAGCUGGAUUCGCUAGUAAUCGCGCAUCAGCCAUGGCGCGGUGAAUACGUUCCCGGGCCUUGUACACACCGCCCGUCAAGCCAUGAAAGCCGGGGGUACCUGAAGUACGUAACCGCAAGGAGCGUCCUAGGGUAAAACUGGU